rnacentral:rRNA from 1 species
UACGGAGGGGGCUAGCGUUGUUCGGAAUUACUGGGCGUAAAGCGCACGUAGGCGGCUUUGUAAGUUAGAGGUGAAAGCCCAGGGCUUAACCCUGGAAUUGCCUUUAAGACUGCAUCGCUAGAAUCGUGGAGAGGUGAGUGGAAUUCCGAGUGUAGAGGUGAAAUUCGUAGAUAUUCGGAAGAACACCAGUGGCGAAGGCGACUCACUGGACACGUAUUGACGCUGAGGCGCGAAAGCUAGGGGAGCAAACAGGGAUUAAGAAACCC